ensembl:snoRNA SNORA74 Small nucleolar RNA SNORA74
CCCAGUGGUUAGUCAGCUAUCCAGUGCCUGUGAUAGUGUUACAUUGCUGGGAGAACAAGACAAUGCACCCAAUGCUGGUGUCCCACUGUUACUGUUCUGGUGACGUGUAGCACAUGCAACUAGGCAUUGUUGUACUUCCUCACGAGUGCGCCAAACAUCUACCAUGUUUGUUUUGGAGCUAGUCUGGAAGCACACAGA